ACGCGUGACCCCUAAAUCAACUCGACACGAGAAACGCGCCGCUCAGUCGCGUCAUCGCGUCGCAGUGACUUUGUAUGUGAGGGCGACGGUGUGAACGGACAUGUUAUAAUCUCAUAAUACAUUAAACUCACAAGAGCCUGCUGUGUUUUCUUACCCAUAAUGCAGUGUGACUCACUGUGAGAUGAUUCUGGAGUUAGACCCGCUCCACCUCUCCAGGUACUGCGGGUCCUUGUGGUCCUUGUGGUCCUUGUGGUCCUUCUCCUCUACUAUGUAGUUUGACCCCUUAGAGUUCUAGAAGUGAAGCUUUAAAAGUACAAUAUUUCAUUGGUAGCAGCAAAGGAUCAUGGGAGUUAAUGUCCUCGUCCUUCGGUGUUGACGGUAGAAUCUUCAUGUCACGCAUCGGAUGUCCUGUAGGAGCUGCAGGACGAGCUAACGAUAACAAUGCUAACGUAAGCUAACGUAAGCUCACAUGAUCCAUAAAGCUGCUUCUGAUUCAGGUCCUCGUGGUCUUCGAUCCACCUCGGACCUUAAAGGUGUGAUUUAACUUGAGUAGAUGUUCGCUAACGUGACUUAAUGUGAGUAAACCUGGACGGGAGGACGUUGGAUCCAGUGAGAGGUGAGGCGUCACAGAGGAGGAAUCCCACCGUGUGUUUGUGACUCCAGGACGCCGGUGGUGGAGCGAGUGGACCGACGGAACGGAGAGCAGGUCCGACCUCUCCGGUACCACCUGAACCCGCCCGCCGACACACCGCUGACCCCGCCCACCAAAGAGGUAAGAACGCCCCAUUCCGGGUCUUGAGUAGGAAGCAGUUUGAAGAGCGAUGGUGUUUCUACCUGGAUGAGUCUUCAGAGGAGGACGGGACACCUGAGACGCAUCAGAGAGCACAGGUGUGUUUGUUUACCUGUUUGACACAUGGUCACCUGGUCAAAUGAUCACAUGUCACCUGGUAACCAAUCACCCGUUCACACGAAUGAUGCGCUAAAAUGUGCACCUGAGGUUUACCUGCAGCGUGCAGAGGGAUUGUGGGAAAUGGUGUCUCUCCAUCACAAGCUGCUCUGUGUUAUUCUGAUAGAGAAGUGGAACAUCAGCUGUCACUCUGCUUCCUCUCCUAUCAGGGCCGUGACAGACCCGCGCCUCCCGCUAAGCCACUCCCCCCCGACCCCGCCUUAAACCCCCCGCCGCAGGUAACCUCCCCGUGAGGCAACGCCUGUGUUUGUGUGUCAGAACCGACCCGCUUCAAUCAACGUCUUUGUCUCGUACUGUAGUUCUGGUCCAGUAGAGUAGAUCAAUAAUCAAUAAUCUGAUGCUGACCUGCUUCUCUGCUCGUCAAUCAGAGAGCAGCCCCCCACCAAGCCGCUACCGUAGUUGCUGUUCCACUCAAACCCGUGGUGCCAGUGAAGCCCCGCCUCCUGCCGCCGGCGUCCAGCACCCACAUCUCCCCCCACCCCAACUGCGCCGCCGCCGCCAAACCGCCGCAUCACAGAGCCGUCGCCCUGGCAACUGCUCGCAACAGACAAGCUCCUCCUCCUCCUCCUCCUCCUCCUCCUCUUCACCCCCAUCAACCAUCAAACCCUCACAGAGUGGAAACGUCUCCUCUCUGAGGAGCCUGGAGAACCACAUGAAGGAGUUGAUGAGAGGGACCCAGACUUCCUGCUCUCCUUCAGGAUCAACUGUAGAUAAACGUGCCUUGCUCGACAGCACCUCCGCUCAUUGUGUUCUGGGGAAGUGAACAACAGACCUCUGACCAGCAGCAAUUUUAGGUGUCUUUGUGGACCUCUCGGACCCUUUACCGGGUCCUCAACAAGACCUGCAGGAACCUCUGUAGAACUCUACCGGACCUUCAACAGGACCUACCGGACCCUCUGUAGGACUCUACUGGAUCUUCAACAGGACCUACCGGACCCUCUGUAGGACUCUACUGGACCUUCAACAGGACCUACCGGACCCUCUGCAGGACUCUACUGGACCUUCAAC
ensembl:lncRNA